rnacentral:rRNA from 1 species
UACGAAGGGGGCUAGCGUUGUUCGGAAUUACUGGGCGUAAAGCGCGCGCAGGCGGUCUUCCAAGUCAGUGGUGAAAGCCCGGAGCUCAACUCCGGAACUGCCAUUGAAACUGUAAGACUUGAGGACGAGAGAGGUGAGUGGAAUUCCCAGUGUAGAGGUGAAAUUCGUAGAUAUUGGGAAGAACACCGGUGGCGAAGGCGGCGACCUGGUCCAUUACUGACGCUGAGGCGCGACAGCGUGGGGAGCAAACAGG